rnacentral:rRNA from 1 species
ACGAACGCUGGCGGCGUGCUUAACACAUGCAAGUCGAACGGAAAGGCCCUGCUUUUGUGGGGUGCUCGAGUGGCGAACGGGUGAGUAACACGUGAGUAACCUGCCCUUGACUUUGGGAUAACUUCAGGAAACUGGGGCUAAUACCGGAUAGGAGCUCCUGCUGCAUGGUGGGGGUUGGAAAGUUUCGGCGGUUGGGGAUGGACUCGCGGCUUAUCAGCUUGUUGGUGGGGUAGUGGCUUACCAAGGCUUUGACGGGUAGCCGGCCUGAGAGGGUGACCGGCCACAUUGGGACUGAGAUACGGCCCAGACUCCUACGGGAGGCAGCAGUGGGGAAUAUUGCACAAUGGGCGGAAGCCUGAUGCAGCAACGCCGCGUGCGGGAUGACGGCCUUCGGGUUGUAAACCGCUUUCGCCUGUGACGAAGCGUGAGUGACGGUAAUGGGUAAGGAAGCACCGGCUAACUACGUG